GACGAACGCUGGCGGCGUGCUUAACACAUGCAAGUCGAACGGAAAGGCCCCUUUGGGGGUCCUCGAGUGGCGAACGGGUGAGUAACACGUGAGUAACCUGCCCUUGACUUCGGGAUAACUUCAGGAAACUGGGGCUAAUACCGGAUAGGAAUCCUUGCUGCAUGGUGGGGGUUGGAAAGCUUCGGCGGUUUUGGAUGGACUCACGGCUUAUCAGCUUGUUGGUGGGGUAGUGGCUUACCAAGGCUUUGACGGGUAGCCGGCCUGAGAGGGCGACCGGCCACAUUGGGACUGAGAUACGGCCCAGACUCCUACGGGAGGCAGCAGUGGGGAAUAUUGCACAAGGGGCGGAAGCCUGAUGCAGCAACGCCGCGUGCGGGAUGACGGCCUUCGGGUUGUAAACCGCUUUCAGCAGGGGCGAAGCUUGUGGUGACGGUACCUGCAGAAGAAGCACCGGCUAACUACGUG
rnacentral:rRNA from 1 species